rnacentral:rRNA from 1 species
AGCGGCGGAUGGGUGAGUAACACGUGGGGAACCUGCCCCUAAGUCUGGGAUACCAUUUGGAAACAGGUGCUAAUACCGGAUAAUAAAGCAGAUCGCAUGAUCAGCUUUUGAAAGGCGGCGUAAGCUGUCGCUAAGGGAUGGCCCCGCGGUGCAUUAGCUAGUUGGUAAGGUAACGGCUUACCAAGGCGACGAUGCAUAGCCGAGUUGAGAGACUGAUCGGCCACAUUGGAACUGAGACACGGCCCAAACUCCUACGGGAGGCAGCAGUAGGGAAUCUUCCACAAUGGACGCAAGUCUGAUGGAGCAACGCCGCGUGAGUGAAGAAGGUUUUCGGAUCGUAAAGCUCUGUUGUUGGUGAAGAAGGAUAGAGGUAGUAACUGGCCUUUAUUUGACGGUAAUCAACCAGGAAGUCACGGCUAACUACGUGCCAGCAGCCGCGGUAAUACGUAGGUGGCAAGCGUUGUCCGGAUUUAUUGGGCGUAAAGCGAGCGCAGGCGGAAAAAUAAGUCUAAUGUGAAAGCCCUCGGCUUAACCGAGGAACUGCAUCGGAAACUGUUUUUCUUGAGUGCAGAAGCGGAGAGUGGAACUCCAUGUGUAGCGGUGGAAUGCGUAGAUAUAUGGAAGAACACCAGUGGCGAAAGCGGCUCUCUGGUCUGCAACUGACGCUGAGGCUCGAAAGCAUGGGUAGCGAACAGGAUUAGAUACCCUGGUAGUCCAUGCCGUAAACGAUGAGUGCUAAGUGU